rnacentral:rRNA from 3 species
GGGUUGUGAGGUUAAGCGACUAAGCGUACACGGUGGAUGCCCUGGCAGUCAGAGGCGAUGAAGGGCGUGCUAAUCUGCGAUAAGCGCCGGUAAGGUGAUAUGAACCGUUAUAACCGGCGAUACCCGAAUGGGGAAACCCAGUGUGACUCGUCACACUAUCAUUAACUGAAUCCAUAGGUUAAUGAGGCGAACCGGGGGAACUGAAACAUCUAAGUACCCCGAGGAAAAGAAAUCAACCGAGAUUCCCCCAGUAGCGGCGAGCGAACGGGGAGGAGCCCAGAGCCUGAAUCAGCAUGUGUGUUAGUGGAAGCGUCUGGAAAGGCGCGCGAUACAGGGUGACAGCCCCGUACACAAAAGCGCAUGUGCUGUGAGCUCGAUGAGUAGGGCGGGACACGUGGUAUCCUGUCUGAAUAUGGGGGGACCAUCCUCCAAGGCUAAAUACUCCUGACUGACCGAUAGUGAACCAGUACCGUGAGGGAAAGGCGAAAAGAACCCCGGCGAGGGGAGUGAAAAAGAACCUGAAACCGUGUACGUACAAGCAGUGGGAGCACCCUUUGGGGUGUGACUGCGUACCUUUUGUAUAAUGGGUCAGCGACUUAUAUUCUGUAGCAAGGUUAACCGAAUAGGGGAGCCGGAGGGAAACCGAGUCUUAACCGGGCGUUAAGUUGCAGGGUAUAGACCCGAAACCCGGUGAUCUAGCCAUGGGCAGGUUGAAGGUUGGGUAACACUAACUGGAGGACCGAACCGACUAAUGUUGAAAAAUUAGCGGAUGACCUGUGGCUGGGGGUGAAAGGCCAAUCAAACCGGGAGAUAGCUGGUUCUCCCCGAAAGCUAUUUAGGUAGCGCCUCGUGAAUUCAUCUCCGGGGGUAGAGCACUGUUUCGGCUAGGGGGCCAUCCCGGCUUACCAACCCGAUGCAAACUGCGAAUACCGGAGAAUGUUAUCACGGGAGACACACGGCGGGUGCUAACGUCCGUCGUGAAGAGGGAAACAACCCAGACCGCCAGCUAAGGUCCCAAAGUCAUGGUUAAGUGGGAAACGAUGUGGGAAGGCCCAGACAGCCAGGAUGUUGGCUUAGAAGCAGCCAUCAUUUAAAGAAAGCGUAAUAGCUCACUGGUCGAGUCGGCCUGCGCGGAAGAUGUAACGGGGCUAAACCAUGCACCGAAGCUGCGGCAGCGACGCUGAUGCGUUGUUGGGUAGGGGAGCGUUCUGUAAGCCUGUGAAGGUGGCCUGUGAGGGUUGCUGGAGGUAUCAGAAGUGCGAAUGCUGACAUAAGUAACGAUAAAGCGGGUGAAAAGCCCGCUCGCCGGAAGACCAAGGGUUCCUGUCCAACGUUAAUCGGGGCAGGGUGAGUCGACCCCUAAGGCGAGGCCGAAAGGCGUAGUCGAUGGGAAACGGGUUAAUAUUCCCGUACUUGGUGUUACUGCGAAGGGGGGACGGAGAAGGCUAUGUUGGCCGGGCGACGGUUGUCCCGGUUUAAGCGUGUAGGUGUGUGUUCCAGGUAAAUCCGGUUCACUUUAACACUGAGGCGUGACGACGAGGCACUACGGUGCUGAAGCAACAAAUGCCCUGCUUCCAGGAAAAGCCUCUAAGCAUCAGGUAACAUCAAAUCGUACCCCAAACCGACACAGGUGGUCAGGUAGAGAAUACCAAGGCGCUUGAGAGAACUCGGGUGAAGGAACUAGGCAAAAUGGUGCCGUAACUUCGGGAGAAGGCACGCUGACAUGUAGGUGAAGUGAUUUACUCAUGGAGCUGAAGUCAGUCGAAGAUACCAGCUGGCUGCAACUGUUUAUUAAAAACACAGCACUGUGCAAACACGAAAGUGGACGUAUACGGUGUGACGCCUGCCCGGUGCCGGAAGGUUAAUUGAUGGGGUCAGCGCAAGCGAAGCUCCUGAUCGAAGCCCCGGUAAACGGCGGCCGUAACUAUAACGGUCCUAAGGUAGCGAAAUUCCUUGUCGGGUAAGUUCCGACCUGCACGAAUGGCGUAAUGAUGGCCAGGCUGUCUCCACCCGAGACUCAGUGAAAUUGAACUCGCUGUGAAGAUGCAGUGUACCCGCGGCAAGACGGAAAGACCCCGUGAACCUUUACUAUAGCUUGACACUGAACAUUGAGCCUUGAUGUGUAGGAUAGGUGGGAGGCUUUGAAGUGUGGACGCCAGUCUGCAUGGAGCCGACCUUGAAAUACCACCCUUUAAUGUUUGAUGUUCUAACGUGGACCCGUAAUCCGGGUUGCGGACAGUGUCUGGUGGGUAGUUUGACUGGGGCGGUCUCCUCCUAAAGAGUAACGGAGGAGCACGAAGGUUGGCUAAUCCUGGUCGGACAUCAGGAGGUUAGUGCAAUGGCAUAAGCCAGCUUGACUGCGAGCGUGACGGCGCGAGCAGGUGCGAAAGCAGGUCAUAGUGAUCCGGUGGUUCUGAAUGGAAGGGCCAUCGCUCAACGGAUAAAAGGUACUCCGGGGAUAACAGGCUGAUACCGCCCAAGAGUUCAUAUCGACGGCGGUGUUUGGCACCUCGAUGUCGGCUCAUCACAUCCUGGGGCUGAAGUAGGUCCCAAGGGUAUGGCUGUUCGCCAUUUAAAGUGGUACGCGAGCUGGGUUUAGAACGUCGUGAGACAGUUCGGUCCCUAUCUGCCGUGGGCGCUGGAGAACUGAGGGGGGCUGCUCCUAGUACGAGAGGACCGGAGUGGACGCAUCACUGGUGUUCGGGUUGUCAUGCCAAUGGCACUGCCCGGUAGCUAAAUGCGGAAGAGAUAAGUGCUGAAAGCAUCUAAGCACGAAACUUGCCCCGAGAUGAGUUCUCCCUGAGACUUAGAGUCUCCUGAAGGAACGUUGAAGACGACGACGUUGAUAGGCCGGGUGUGUAAGCGCAGCGAUGCGUUGAGCUAACCGGUACUAAUGAACCGUGAGGCUUAACCUUACAACGCCGAAG